rnacentral:rRNA from 1 species
ACGUUAGCGGCGGACGGGUGAGUAACACGUGGGUAACCUACCUAUAAGACUGGGAUAACUUCGGGAAACCGGAGCUAAUACCGGAUAAUAUUUCGAACCGCAUGGUUCGAUAGUGAAAGAUGGUUUUGCUAUCACUUAUAGAUGGACCUGCGCCGUAUUAGCUAGUUGGUAAGGUAACGGCUUACCAAGGCGACGAUACGUAGCCGACCUGAGAGGGUGAUCGGCCACACUGGAACUGAGACACGGUCCAGACUCCUACGGGAGGCAGCAGC